AAUUGUUUGGGUGCAGGCCCCUCCAAGACCCCUCAAGGAAGGAGACUGCAGGGAGGAGCAUCUGGCCUGUGCAGAGAUGUUUUCAGGAAUGAGCCUUCAGCAGGUAACAUUCUUCUGUGGACCAGCUGCACUAGUGCCUGUGAUCAGCAAACUGGUGCUGUGCUCCCUGGCAUCCCUGAAGCAGGCAAGAUGCUGCUGCAAGAACUGCUGGAAAUAAACCCUGGUACUGCCCUCGUGCAAAAAAGCUCCCACCCUGCAUAUUUACUGUGGAUAAUGUAAGGCCAGGUUAUGGGCCAUAAAAAUACUUAGGAGAUGUUUAGCAAUGUUAAACACAACCAUCUCCUGGUGGAAUAAGUGCACAUAGCUGCUGAGCAAUAGAGGUCCUCUGCCUGGCCGGUGACACCGCCUGCCCUCUGUGCUGCCUUUCUCAAUGGAGAGGCCCAGGGCUGAAGAGAGCAGCUGGUCGUGGGGGUCAGGGUUGGGGCACAUUGCAUUGCCGUUGCCCGUUUGGGAGAUCAAUAUGGGACUUCAGCCUCCGCCACUUCAGCACCUUUCACUGGCACUAUCCUCGCUUGCGUUUAAUGUGAAACAGGUCGGGUGUGUCCCAAGAUCAUAGGCAGUAUGAGUGUGUUGCUCAGAUUGCUCACAUGAGUUGUUUCCUACCUGGAUCCUUUGUCUCUGCUCCUGGAAACUGUCUUUUGAUGUGUAGCCCUCAAAGUAGGAGAGCAUGGAAACAAAACAGGCAUGGACGAAUGAAAAGAUGAGGACGCAAUAGCUCCAUCUCAGGUCCUGCUGUAAAAUAACUUCAUGCAUUGGUUUUCAGAGAGCUCGGUGACAAGUGUGAGGCAUCUUUUAAUUGAAAUACUGUGGACAGGAUGCCAAAAAUAAACCGCUUUUGUAUGCCCAAAGAAGCCACUGUAAACUUGUGAGGUGUCUUUCAGAACAGGACAAAGCUGCAUGGAAGUGCAAGAAAACAUGGCGUGGGGUUGUUUCCCCUCCCUGACCUAAUGUGAAGACUGGUUCUCCUGGUGGUGAGGUGUCCAGGCUUUUAAACAAGAUAGGAGCCCAUUUCCAGUUACACUAAUCAGGCCAAAUGUCAACGAAGCUGAUUUAAAUCCAUUCCCUCAAGCUCAGCUCCCUACCUGGGCUGUUGUUUUGCAAAGGAGCGUUGAUUACGAUUAGUGCUGAUAAUCACUUUUCUGAUAGAGGUGUUAUAAACCACGGUUUUAUCUUGUGGUAUCAGCACCAGCAAAGGGAGAAACCACAGCCAUGAAACUUUACACCACUUGCUGCAUUUGCUCAACCAGCUUGGUGCAAUAAAAGAGCUCACACAAAUCUCCUUUCAGAGCCUUUGCUUCCUUGUCUCAGGAUCGCAAACACCUGCAAAACUCUCUGCAAAUAUCUAAUCGCCACCUGUAAUGUGACCGAACGGUGGCACCAUUCCCAGCCUUCAUCACCUUCACUGUCCUGGGCAGGGAUUGCCAAAGUUGCUCUUUGCCUUCACUUUCUUUCAGCUUACGCAACUCUGCUGUUCAGCAUGUUGCAGAACAGCCUGGUGACUGAUGAAAUAGCUUGCAGAGAUGACA